rnacentral:rRNA from 1 species
GAUGAACGCUGGCGGCGUGCCUAACACAUGCAAGACGAGCGAUUUACUUCGGUAAAGAGCGGCGGACGGGUGAGUAACGCGUGGGUAACCUGCCCUGUACAAACGGAUAACAUACCGAAAGGUAUGCUAAUACGGGAUAAUAUGCUUUAGUCGCAUGGCUGAAGUAUGAAAGCUGCGGCGGUCCGGGAUGGACCCGCGGCUGGUUAGCUCGUUGGUAAGGUAACGGCCUACCAAGGCGACGAUCAGUAGCCGACCUGAGAGGGUGAUCGGCCACAUUGGAACUGAGACACGGUCCAAACUCCUGCGGGAGGCAGCAGUGGGGAAUAUUGCACAAUGGGCGAAAGCCUGAUGCAGCAACGCCGCGUGAGCGAUGAAGGCCUGCAGGUCGUAAAGCUCUGUCCUCAAGGAAGAUAAUGACGGUACUUGAGGAGGAAGCCCCGGCUAACUACGUGCCAGCCGCCGCCGUAA